rnacentral:rRNA from 1 species
UACGUAGGGGGCAAGCGUUGUCCGGAUUUACUGGGCGUAAAGAGCGCGUAGGCGGAAACGCCAGUCCGGCUUGAAAGCCCCCGGCUCAACCGGGGAGAGUGGCUGGAAACUGCGUUUCUUGAGGGCGAGAGAGGAGGGUGGAAUUCCUGGUGUAGCGGUGAAAUGCGUAGAGAUCUGGAGGAACACCGGUGGCGAAGGCGGCAUCCUGGACCGGUAUUGACGCUGAGGCGCGAAAGCUAGGGGAGCAAACGGG